rnacentral:rRNA from 1 species
UGCUGCUUUGCUGACGAGUGGCGCACUGGUGAGUAAUGUCUGGGAAACUGCCUGAUGGAGGGGGAUAACUACUGGAAACGGUAGCUAAAACCGCAUAACGUCGCAAGACCAAAGAGGGGGACCUUCGGGCCUCUUGCCAUCGGAUGUGCCCAGAUGGGAUUAGCUAGUAGGUGGGGUAACGGCUCACCUAGGCGACGAUCCCUAGCUGGUCUGAGAGGAUGACCAGCCACACUGGAACUGAGACACGGUCCAGACUCCUACGGGAGGCAGCAGUGGGGAAUAUUGCACAAUGGGCGCAAGCCUGAUGCAGCCAUGCCGCGUGUAUGAAGAAGGCCUUCGGGUUGUAAAGUACUUUCAGCGGGGAGGAAGGCGAUAAGGUUAAUAACCUUGUCGAUUGACGUUACCCGCAGAAGAAGCACCGGCUAACUCCGUGCCAGCAGCCGCGGUAAUACGGAGGGUGCAAGCGUUAAUCGGAAUUACUGGGCGUAAAGCGCACGCAGGCGGUCUGUCAAGUCGGAUGUGAAAUCCCCGGGCUCAACCUGGGAACUGCAUUCGAAACUGGCAGGCUAGAGUCUUGUAGAGGGGGGGUAGAAUUCCAGGUGUAGCGGUGAAAUGCGUAGAGAUCUGGAGGAAUACCGGGUGGCGAAGGCGG